UCUACCGGGGCCGCCGUCCCCAGCGCCCGCCUUGUGAGGUUCAGGCAGAUCGACGGGAUAGAAGUGGGGCAGGUACUGAUUCAGGUGGAACCUGUGGCGGCUCCUGGAGGCCGAGCCCAGACUCCCGGCGGCGGGCAUGUCCCUCGGGGGGUGUAUGGACUCGAACUGAUCGCCGAACUCCGGAGACAGGCUAACCGCUGGGGUGCUGGCAGACCAGCAGAGAAGCGCAAACCGUCUGCCUGGCCGUUUCCUAGGUGUCCGUGCAAGUCGUACGAGGCCCUCUGCACCAGCGGUCCGGAGGGGGACGCAGCCACAGUCGGGGACACAGCAGGGGCACUGGCGCAUCUGCCACGCGGCGCACGCGCUGCCAGCCGCGGCGUCUCCCAGCCGCUUACUCACCAUUGUCGUCACACGACUCCGACUGGAAGGAGCUGAGCGACUGCACCUCCGACAGGCUCCCCCGGGCGCUGUACGGGCGCGAAGGCUUCUCCUCCAGAGGCUUCUUGGACAGACCGGGAUCGAGAUCCACGACUUUAGCUGAAAGGGAGAGAGGACAACCGUCAGCUCCGAGAGGGCAGGGCCUCCGGCGCUCCAGGAGCCUGCCGGGCGUGCACGUCGUACAGGAACACCUCAAAGCAGAGGCAGCUGGAAACACAAGUGUGCUUGCAGAUUCUCACAACGGGGAUUCUCGGAGAACGCGCCUGCGGAGACCAUUAGCGGCCGAAGUCAGGAGGACCCCUUGCUGGUUCACCUCAAACACUCCGUCGUCAUUCCCGCUCACCACGGAAAAGGAGAACGGUGGGCCGUUAUGCGAGGAGUCCCUGUCGGUCACCACCAACUGCAGGACACUGAAACCCACAGGCUUGUUUUCCUGCAUGUGACAGAACCAAAACACACAGGACCUGCGAUAAAACCAAAUCUACAUGAUGCAUCUACCCUCUACGUCAGUGAUUCCAGCUGGGGGCAGUCCUGUCUAGAUGGACAUGCAACAAUGUCUAGACACAGUUCGGUUAUCACCCUCUGGAGGGGAGCGGGCUAGGAACUCCCACUGCAUGGAGAUCUGGAGAGCCCUCACA